GCGCCUGUAGCUCAGUGGAUAGAGUACAAGUUUCCGGAACUUGGGGUCGGAGGUUCGAAUCCUCUCAGGCGCGCUA
rnacentral:tRNA from 3 species